AGAGGUGGUGGUGAGCCCUCCUUUUGUGUUUCUUACCUCUGUUAAAAGUGAAUUGAGGCCUGAAAUCCAAGUUGCAGCUCAAAAUUGUUGGGUUAAGAAGGGUGGUGCAUUCACCGGUGAGGUUAGUGCUAAGAUGCUUGCCAAUUUGGGUGUCCCUUGGGUCAUCCUAGGUCACUCUGAAAGGAGAGCCCUAUUGAAUGAAACUAAUGAGUUUGUUGGAGACAAGGUUGCAUACGCACUAUCUCCAGGUUUGAAGGUUAUUGCUUGUGUUGGGGAGACUCUUGAGCAACGAGAAGCUGGAACCACCAUGGAAGUUGUUGCUGCACAAACCAAAGCAAUUGC